rnacentral:tRNA from 1 species
AGUACUAUGGCUCAGUUGGUAGGGCAUUAUGCUAACAAUGCAAAGGUUGUGGGUUUGAUCCCAGGGAACUA